ACCGUCCGCCCCGUGAAACGCGACGCCGUACGGAGCCGGGCACCGCUACCCUGGCCGGGUGCCCCUUCCACCGGAAGGCGCAAAGCCGACAGCCGUCGCAUCCCCGGGAGUAUCUUCAUG
rnacentral:sRNA from 1 species